AUCGUUAGUUAUUUUAUAUUUCUUACCAAUUUCAUGCGUUCGAUAUUAUUUUUAAUCAAGUACGGUAAAAUACAUAUUCGAAUAAUUCGACCUGCAAUUUGAUUUAUUGCCAUAGCUAGUACGACUCGAUCGCGCACCCAUUGAAAUCAUGUGGUACGCUCCAUAGCUCUCUGUUGCCCCGGAAGAAAGCAGUUCGCUUUACCACUUGGAAAGUGAUCAGCUCGCGAGGUUGCAACCGUGAAAGUACAUGAUCUACUCGCAUAAAAGAAACACAACUCUAGGAAUCCAAGGAUAGUACACAGUGUUCGUACUGGCUGAGGAGACAGACCUACAGACGGUAUCACAGACACUGGACAGAUUUAAUCUUAUAGAUUUGAAUGGACAAGGAGACCAGAAAUACAUAGCCCAGCUAGUUAACCCGUGUGGAAACUCCGCGAUGCCUGUGAAGAAAAAGAGGAAGUCUUCGGGGUCAGAUGACCCGGGACUCAGGAAGUGUAAAAUCACCUGUUUCUGCAGACCUCAGGCUCCAGGCCGGUUGAUCAGCCCUGAGGACCAGUUCUCCAAUAAGAAAUGUCUGGCCUGGUUCUACGAGUACACAGGUCCAGAUGAGGUGUUGGGUCCAGAGGGGAUGGAGAAGUUCUGUGAAGACAUUGGAGUGGAACCAGAAAAUGUUAUUAUAGUGAAACUAGAAGCUCCAAAUAUAGGAUUUUUCACUGGGGAGGAGUGGCUUAAGUGAAUGACUUUACUUAGGUGUGACUGCAUAGAGAGGUUACAGGGGAAACUGGACUACCUUCGCAAUCAUCUCAACGACACGAUCAUCUUUAAAAACAUCUACAGAUACGCCUUUGACUUUGCCAGGGAUAAGGAUCAGAGGAGUCUGGACAUGGACACAGCUAAGUCCAUGCUAGGGUUGCUACUGGGGAGAACAUGGCCACUCUUCCCUGUCUUCAACCAGUUUCUGGAGCAGUCCAAGUACAAGGUGAUGAAUAAGGACCAGUGGUAUAACGUCUUAGAGUUCAGUCGUACAGUCAGCACAGACCUCAGUAACUAUGACGAGGAUGGAGCCUGGCCGGUGUUAUUGGAUGAGUUUGUGGAGUGGCAGAAAGCUCGGCUGGCAGCGUUAUAGCUGAGGACACACUCGCCAAACCGCAGAAGAGGAGAAAGAGAGAAGCUCACAUGAAGAUGUUCUCCCUCCGUUUGAAAUAUACAGAAACGGCACACACACUAUAGAGAGAUGGCACACACACACCUUCCAUGGACUGUGCACACACACACCCAUACGGUGUCACGGCGUGCAGAUGCACUUCCAGCGACGGCCUCUGCUUAGUGUGCGAAACAGUGAAGUCCUCUCUCUCUGAAGAUAGUUUGUCAGUGUUAAUUUAAGCAAGUUCAACAAGGAGAAAACAAACAAAAAACGAAACGAAAGGGGGAACUAUUUUUCAUAUAUAUUGCAUCUGUGGCCACAGUUCUCUAGCCAUUGUUGUGAAGCUCGACUGGGGAAUUUUUCGGUUUCCUUGAACAUUUUUUCCCUUCAUUUUUGAGUCUUACCUUGUUUAUAGUAUGUUUUCAGAACAAGAAUAAAGAAUGGAAUUCAACCAAA